rnacentral:rRNA from 1 species
ACGGCCAUAAUAUCGCAUUGAAAACAUUGGUUCUCUUCUGAUCACUGUAAUUAAGUAAUAUCGGGUCUGGUCAGUACUUAGGAUGGGGACUCUUGGAGAAACUGGGUGCUGUUUGUA